rnacentral:rRNA from 1 species
AGUGAACGCUGGCGGUAGGCCUAACACAUGCAAGUCGAACGGCAGCACAGUAAGAGCUUGCUCUUACGGGUGGCGAGUGGCGGACGGGUGAGGAAUACAUCGGAAUCUACUUUUUCGUGGGGGAUAACGUAGGGAAACUUACGCUAAUACCGCAUACGACCUACGGGUGAAAGCAGGGGAUCUUCGGACCUUGCGCGAUUGAAUGAGCCGAUGUCGGAUUAGCUAGUUGGCGGGGUAAAGGCCCACCAAGGCGACGAUCCGUAGCUGGUCUGAGAGGCUGAUCAGCCACACUGGAACUGAGACACGGACCAGACUCCUACGGGAGGCAGCAGUGGGGAAUAUUGGACAAUGGGCGCAAGCCUGAUCCAGCCAUACCGCGUGGGUGAAGAAGGCCUUCGGGUUGUAAAGCCCUUUUGUUGGGAAAGAAAAGCAGCAGGUUAAUACCCCGCUGUUCUGACGGUACCCAAAGAAUAAGCACCGGCUAACUUCGUG